rnacentral:rRNA from 1 species
AUUGAACGCUGGCGGCAGGCCUAACACAUGCAAGUCGAGCGGAUGAAGGGAGCUUGCUCCUGCAUUCAGCGGCGGACGGGUGGGUAAUGCCUAGGAAUCUGCCUGAUAGUGGGGGAUAACGUCCGGUAACGGGCGCUAAUACCGCAUACGUCCUGAGGGAGUACGGGGGGGAUCUUCGGACCUCACGCUAUCAGAUGAGCGUAGGUCGGCUUAGCUAGUUGGUGGGGUAAAGGCCUACCAAGGCGACGAUCCGUAACUGGUCUGAGAGGAUGAUCAGUCACACUGGAACUGAGACACGGUACAGACUCCGACGGGAGGCAGCAGUGGGGAAUAUUGCACGAUGGGCGAGAGCCUGAUCUAGCCAUGCCGCGUGUGUGAAGAAGGUCUUCGGAUGGUAAAGCACUUUAAGUUGGGAGGAAGGGCAGUAAGUUAGUACCUUGCUGUUUUGACGGUACCAAAAGAAUAAGCACCGGCUAACUUCGUG